rnacentral:rRNA from 1 species
UACAGACUCCUACGGGAGGCAGCAGUGGGGAAUAUUGGGCAAUGGGCGCAAGCCUGACCCAGCAACGCCGCGUGAAGGAAGAAGGCUUUCGGGUUGUAAACUUCUUUUGUCAGGGACGAAGCAAGUGACGGUACCUGACGAAUAAGCCACGGCUAACUACGUGCCAGCAGCCGCGGUAAUACGUAGGUGGCAAGCGUUAUCCGGAUUUAUUGGGUGUAAAGGGCGUGUAGGCGGGAAUGCAAGUCAGAUGUGAAAUCCACAGGCUCAACCUGUGAACUGCAUUUGAAACUGUUUCCCUUGAGUAUCGGAGAGGUCAUCGGAAUUCCUAGUGUAGCGGUGAAAUGCGUAGAUAUUAGGAAGAACACCAGUGGCGAAGGCGGAUGACUGGACGACAACUGACGGUGAGGCGCGAAAGCGUGGGGAGCAAACAGGAUUAGAUACCCCUGUAGUG